UGAACGCAAACUCACAUUAACACUGAACCCGUGCGACCUUCUUUUAAAGAGCGCACCAUUACACUAAAUCUGUGCGACGCACCUGAAACGAACGCACCAUGGUUCGAGCGAGCUGUCAUUAUUUUUCAUUCGCGCAUGAUUGAUCCUGUUCGUGUCGCGCGUUUCGAGAGGAAAUUUCCGCGUAAAGUCGUGUGUCCCCGGGGAUGUGGAACAUCCCCGGCAUUUGUGCGUGUUCGCGGUGCUAAUAAUGGCCCCGAUCCCGGGUUGGACAGUUCCGCCGGAAGACCGAAUCGGAAAGGUUCGGGGUUGGCGAAUAGGUGUUGCCGCUGUGAAGCAACAAUAUUUUUAGGGACACUUCUCCACGGUGAACCUGCUGCUGCUGCACACAUCCCGGACCGCCGUGGUGCGCCGAAAGUAUGUGUGGAAGCGCUGGUAUGGAGUGACUGCGUUCUCGGUGUAGGCUGGACCGCUGGAUAGAUCCACCGGAUGACGGAUCUAGUACGACUCAGGAAUGGUAACAAGGAGUUCAGCAACUACGUGGGCUUAUUUCACUGAGGAUUGUGCUUCUCGAUUACGCGAAUGUCCAUCCCAAGUACGAAGCAGUGAAUCCUGCACCGGAUACCGACAUUCCGGACAACGCCAAACAGUAACUGUUUGCUUGGCUGAUUGAAGCGGAAUCACAAAAGAAAACGACGCUAAAAAAAGUGCAAAAUAAAGUGAAAAAAAUACAAAUAAUAACGAUAAAAAUACUCAUUAAUUUAUUGUAUUAACCAUUAACUUCAAUGUCCAUUUAUAUUUUUACCAUACAGUUUUGUGGAGAAAAAACAAUAAAUAAACGAUAAAACUUACUGUAGUUAUUAUUUUAUUCGAUGUACGGAUAUAGUUUUUACAGUACAUUUUGGUAGUGAAAAACCCAUGAAGAACUGUAAAUUGACUGUGCAAUGCAUUGUAAUGCUUGCUGUUUUUAUUAUUAAUGUAUGAUGUUUUCUAUAGUCAGGACGAGUUUUUGGAUGAAAAAUGCAACAUUAGAUUAACAGUAAAAAGUGUCGUAUUUGAAAAAAAAAUGUAUGGAAAAAUUUCGAAAUUUUUAUGGUACCGGUGCAUAACAACCCCCCUUUUUUAUGGUAAAAUCCCAAAAUACGACGCAAAUUAUCUUAAAAAACGAUGCUGUCUACUGUUAAAACACUGUCAAAAUGACAAUAUUUUUUAUCGUUUUGUAACGUUAAAAUUUACUGUAAGUUUAUCAGAAAUCUUUAUGCGGGGCCCGCAUAAAAUUAUAUGAUGAUUUGCAUUGUCAAAACCAUGCAGUUACAAUAGAUAUUAUAAUAUCUAUGGUUAGUUUAUGGUUGAUUUUUUUGAACUUCAUUGGAAUGACGAUAAAGCUAUCGUAGAUUUCAUGGUUACAGUCAAUUUCAUGGUUUUGUUAUUGGAAAUGUUAUAAAUUGAAACAAUAAAACUACCGUAAAAUUCAUGAAGACAGCAAAUAACAUGGUUUUGUUAUUGGAAAUCUCAUAAUGCAUUUUUUUCCAAAUUUUUGUUACAGUAAGUUUAAUUGUAAUGUUAUAGUUGCACAGUGUGAACUUUUUUUGAACGAUUUUUUUAA